GUUGCUUUGCAUCUCUGUUUGGGUUUGAUUUCCUCUAUGGCUUGAUUUUCUCCAUAUGCUCUCCACGUUUGAUUUCUCGUAUGGCUUCAAUAAAUCUGUAUUAGGUAGGAUAAAACCUCUAUCGCUCUCUCUCUGUUUGGGUUUGAUUAUGAAUUUCUCUGUUUGGGUUUGAUAUCCUCUAUCGCUCUUCAUCUCAAAGCUAACACACCUAAUUGAUGGCCUGUGCAAUGGUUAAUGUAUCUCCUACCUAUACUGGAAUCCAGGAAAGCUGUCUAGGGUUUGGAAUCUAUAGCAGGUUUGAAACCCGGUGGCAUUGUUCAGUUAAAGGUUAUGUAUUGAUUAUGUUCUUUGCUAUGCUUUGGUUUAGGUAUGCUUAAUCCCUCCAUCGAUAAUGUCUUUAUUUUCUUCCACAUAGAACUGUUUGUUUUGUUACAGUUCAAAUGAAAUCGGCAAAAAGGGGAGAAGACAUCAUCGUUUUGCUUUGGUUCUUGAACAAAGGGUGAAGACUUCCGAAAGGGAGCUGGAUGCUGCCAUUUCAGCUGCGGCUUAUGCUCGUACAGAAAAACGUCAGGGGACAGAAGGCUGCUGAAUUACUAGCACUGGAAAUCACAAAGGAGUUGGAGAACACCACAAGUUUUCAGCACAACAAACAUGACCUUGUAGGCAGAAUUGGUGGGGUUGUUGAACUCUUGGAGCUUACAAGAACAUCAUAUACAUGUCUUGUAUGCAAUAAAACGUUUGUCUCUUCAUUUUCAUCAUUCGACAUUCAGAUUUUGGGUUCCAAUUUUACUUGUUUGGGCAUGAAAUUAUAUACACAGGUAGGUGAACCCAUCUCAAUGUAGAACUAUGUUAUUUCUCUUAAAAUCAAAUUUUAGAAUAUGUCGUUCAAAAACGAUAGAUAUUCUUCUCACUUUGUCAUUUUAAACAUUUUUAUUGCUUUAAUCUGUAAAUUUUCUAUUAUAACAUGAACGUUUAGACUAUAUAGUUCUAAUAUGGUGUAAUAGGUGUACAAGGUUUUCAAAAAGAUUGGGACGACCUUGUUGGAUGGAUGGUCAAACUUCUAGAUAGAAGAGGAUGAGGUUUCAUAAAAUGAUGUCUCUCUCUCGAUUGUUUUAUAGUCAUUGCAAUAGUUUGCAACUUGAGGCCUUGGCCAACCAGUUUCAGACUCUUAACCAUUUAAUGAUAUAUGACUUAUGGCUUUUAGGAAAGCAUAAAAAAUGCCAUGACGUCUACACUCCAACCUCAUAUGAUUAAAACAACAUGCUUUGUCACUUUUUACUUUACCAUAUGGUAUAUAUUUUGUAAAAGAGGCAUCCUUAAGUCAAACGGUGUUUUAUUUGGAAAAAAUGUAUUUGCACUAGAUGAUGGAUGUCUUAUGCUUGCCUCUAUGACUCCCGAGUUAUUGAGGGAUCAUGAAUAUAUGUCAGUCUGGGAUAUGAUAUCCUCUCUAAAUCAAUGAUUUAAUUACAGGCUAGGAAGGAAACGUUGAAACAGUCAAGGCAUUGCAUGCUUAUAUGAUGACUGAGUGUCAUCAGUUGGUGCCUAUGUUUUGAAAAUGAAGGGGUACAUUGACUAGUUGUCCCGUCUAGGCUUCCCAUUGGAAAAUGAAUUAGCAAUCAAUCUGACUUUUAAUUCUAUACCUAAAUCAUACGACUAGUUCACCCUGAACUAUAAUAUGAACGGUUUGGAUGAGUCUCUUACAGAGCUUCAUGACAUUGCUUAAAACUACUAAGAGAAGUAUAAAUUCCAAAUUGAUGAUCAAAUCUAAAAGUGGGAUUGUCAAGAAAAGGAGGGUGGUUGUCGAGGGAAAUACAAAAGUUGGAAGUUCCAACAAAGAUGGUAAAGAAAAGAUUCUCAAGGAUUCAAUAUGGUACAACUGCAAUCACAAAGGGCACCAGAAGAAGGCAGAGCAAAAGAAGUAGAAGGAUUGUCGGAGCUUCGGAACCCUUAUUGGGACCAACCCAUCCCAAGGCAACCGGUCAAGGGAAUCUCGAUCAGGGCAUUAGCUUUGCAGGGGGAGAGGCCUUCUUAGAACCAACAAUCCUACUCAAACAAGGGCAAAUGGUUAGCUGAAGAGAACUUGACGAUUCUUCACAAUGUUAAGGGGGAGCUCAACUUACCUAAGAUUUUUUUGAACGCCAAAGAUUUGCUUUCUUUCUACCAACCUGAAUCUGAAGCUGAAGACAAUCAUGCUGACCUGAUUCUUAGAGGACCUUUAUGAGCUAAAUUUCAUAUAUGUUCAGAAGUAUAAGAGUCAAAGAGGAUGGCGCAGCUGAUCUCCCAGCUCGGCAGUACCAGGGUAAAAAUACCUCUUCGUACCCCUAAUGAUGACUUCAACUUCCUCACUAAAGAUGAAUGUAAGGAAGCUCUGAAAGCUGAAGAGGAGAUGGAGAUGCAUCAAAGGAAGAUGAGGGAAAUCAUUGAGUUGGCAAAUGCUCUUGCCAAUGAAACUCAUGCUCAAGGGAAGUUCCAAAGAAACAAUCCUCUCGGUGCUCAAGACUACUACUCUUUGAAGCUGAACAAGAACAUCAAAAGGAGCUUGCAUUGAAGGAUGGUGAGCUAAAAUGGCGCAAAGAAAAAUCGAGACAAGGUUGAACAAUCAGCGAAUAACUAAUGUCAUUAACUUGAGACGAAUGAAGGAUGAUGAUCUUCUUGUAUCAAUGGUCAUCUUGAGAGAAGAUCACAGUGCUAUCACUGAAUAUCCUUAUUUUCUGAAGAUGUAUGGGUUCUAUGAAUGACUGGAGAUUUGACAUGCC